UACGUAGGGGGCGAGCGUUGUCCGGAAUUAUUGGGCGUAAAGAGCGUGUAGGCGGUCCGGUAAGUCCGCUGUGAAAGUCCAGGGCUCAACCCUGGAAUGCCGGUGGAUACUGCCGGGCUAGAGUCCGGAAGAGGCGAGUGGAAUUCCUGGUGUAGCGGUGAAAUGCGCAGAUAUCAGGAAGAACACCGAUGGCGAAGGCAGCUCUCUGGGACGGUACUGACGCUGAGACGCGAAAGCGUGGGGAGCGAACAGG
rnacentral:rRNA from 1 species